rnacentral:rRNA from 1 species
GAACGCUGGCGGCAGGCUUAACACAUGCAAGUCGAGCGGGGGAAGGUAGCUUGCUACCGGACCUAGCGGCGGACGGGUGAGUAAUGCUUAGGAAUCUGCCUAUUAGUGGGGGACAACAUCUCGAAAGGGAUGCUAAUACCGCAUACGUCCUACGGGAGAAAGCAGGGGAUCUUCGGACCUUGCGCUAAUAGAUGAGCCUAAGUCGGAUUAGCUAGUUGGUGGGGUAAAGGCCUACCAAGGCGACGAUCUGUAGCGGGUCUGAGAGGAUGAUCCGCCACACUGGGACUGAGACACGGC